rnacentral:rRNA from 1 species
UACAGAGGGUGCGAGCGUUAAUCGGAAUUACUGGGCGUAAAGCGUGCGUAGACGGUUAUUUAAGUCGGGUGUGAAAGCCCCGGGCUCAACCUGGGAAUUGCAUUCGAGACUGAAUAGCUAGGGUACGGUAGAGGGAAGUGGAAUUUCCGGUGUAGCGGUGAAAUGCGUAGAUAUCGGAAGGAACAUCAGUGGCGAAAGCGACUUCCUGGACCAGAACUGACGAUCAGGCACGAAAGCGUGGGGAGCAAACAGGG